UCGUUGUCAUUCUCUUCAAUGGAGGGUAGAUUUCCUCCUCUUGAGAGAGGAGCAGUCGUCCUUCCCAUUUCUCUUCUCCAAAAACGCUCAGCACUCCACCCUUUACAAACCUGAUCAUUCGUCCACCUUCCUAAGAAAGGAUCAUCAUCCUAGAAUUUCAAAAAGAAAGCUGAUAGCAUUCCACUCCAUUAACAACCUCCAGUUGCCACCCCAAGAAAAGGGAACGAACAACAGCUGCAAAAAAAAAUAGGAACGAAGGCGACAUAGUUUUGGGAUUGAACAACUUGAAUUUUCUGGUAAUGUAUUUUAAUGUAUCUCGCUGUAUUCCAUGUAUUUCUUUGUAUUCAG
rnacentral:lncRNA from 1 species